GACGAACGCUGGCGGCGUGCCUAAUACAUGCAAGUAGAACGCAGUUGCGAACGGGUGAGUAACGCGUAGGUAACUGCCUCAUAGCGGGGGAUAACUAAUGGAAACGAUAUCUAAUACCCCAUACUGUGAGAUGUACCUGCGUUGUAUUAGUUAGUUGGUGAGGUAAAGGCUCACCAAGGCGACGAUACAUAGCCGACAUGAGAGGUGGACGGGCCAAACUGGGACUGAGACACGGUCCAGACGCCUACGGGAGGCAGCAGUGGGGAAUAUUGCACAAUGGGCGAAAUCCGGAUGCAGCCAGGCGGCGGGUAUGAAGAAGGCCUUCGGGUUGUAAAGUACUUUCAGCGAGGAGCGUUACCCGCAGAAGAAGCACCGGCUAACUCCGUGCCAGCAGCCGCGGUAAUAC
rnacentral:rRNA from 1 species